rnacentral:lncRNA from 1 species
AAACAACAACUCUCAGGUUUCAUUCGAACAACAUAACAUACAUAAUUAUACAUUGAAGUAAACUAGCUCAUGAAACUACUCAUAAAUCAAAGGAAAUGGAGAAUGUAGAAGCAGAGCAUCAAUGGCUAAAAAAACCCAACAUCAAAGUAAAACAUCCCAACACAAAGGGGAACAAACAUCCAGAGAUAACUAUCGGAAAACCAAGCGGAAAUCCUCAAAAACAAAAAACGUAAUGUGCUCCUCCAAGGUACCUCUCUUCGAUUCAAAGAGCCGCUCGGUCAAGGUGUCGAGGCUGGCCAUGCAGUCCUCUUAGGCGGUAUUGACACCCAAGGUUCCACUAUCGUAUAUGCAAAGAAGAAAGGGACGGGGUCAGUGAUAAGCACUAAGUAGCUACCUAGACUCACGUAGAGGUGAGACUGACAUUUAGUAAUGUGACCAUGUGGUCCUAUGAGCAUCUACCUAGAAUUAGCCACCCCUAUCUAUAUGUGGAUAGCCUCAUGGUGGAUCAGACUAUAAAAUCACUCUGACCGUGUGAGCAGCAUUUAUAGGCAUACUCUACUCGUCGUUUAUCUCCGUGUAAGCAGCAUUUGUAGGCAUACUCCACAAGUCCUGCCUGAACUGAAUCACCUAGGGGAUUGCGCAACCCAUGGGUGGGUGACCGAUGCAAAACGUCAUGAACUAGCCUCGUAGCCUAUCAUGACUGUAGUUCACAUGCCAAAGUUCAUCUGUUAAGAGCUUACACUCAACUCAUGUUACAUAAUCUAUAUAGUAGAUCACACACUACCUUGUAGCCUAUGAUCCCUCACUCUAUAUCACAUCACCUGUACAGUAGAUCGCACGCUACGGUAAAGCCUGAGAGCCCUCGCUCUAAAUCAAAUGAUCUAUACAAUAGAUCGGACGCUACUGUACAACAUGUGAGCCCUUCCUCUAUAUAACAAGGACCAAUCAUUGGAUUCCCUAACAUCCUAUUACAUUUCUACGGAUAUAAGCAGAAUGUAAUCCUAAUCCCCAACCUCUGAUUAGCUUCGUGGUACAGUUGGAUGCGGUCUAAUGUGAGCUAUAAAUGGGUGCAUUCGGUGUUGCACUGUUAACCUAUCUUAGACGCACAUUUCACCUAGGUCUCGCACUUUGUGAUUUCUCCAUUUUUCGAUACAUCCAAUUCCUCCUCGCACAUCAUACAACUCUGAAUAAUGCCCUGAUAUCAUCGUGUACGUAAAAUUAAUAAAAACACUCCAAAACGAUAUCAAAUGGACCCUGAACGAGUCUAUGGUACUAAACAAAGAUAGAAGCUAUAGAUGCACAAAACAUCCUACACUUCUAUCCAAAGCUAUACAAGUAUGCAUGAAAUGUCGCUUAAAUGAGGGUGAUUAACAUGGUAAAUCGAAUGUCAUCAAAUAAUCCCGCACUUAAACUUUGCUUGUCCUCAAACAAAAACCUGAUAAAAGCUAUGGAAUACACCUACAAGUGAAUCAAACUACUAACAUGGCAAAGUAAACCCAUAUUUCUCAAUGCACCCCUUAAUCGCUUAACAUUCAAGUGAACCUUUAAACAAAACUGAUAUAGGUAGUAAAGAAAUUCAACAAUCCUUAAUGCAUCCCUAAAUUGCUUAACAAGCAAGUGAACCUUAAAUUAAAACCAAAAUAGGAUGUAAAGGCCUCACAUAAAGUUCCCUAACUUUCCACACAUCAUCGCGCAUAUUAUACCACCUGUAUAGACUUACUCUCAAAGUGAUUCGACUUAAAGAUGAAGGCGAAAUAUCUGACUCAAGUGUUUAGGGACAGUGUUUAUGCACUCAUCAUCAACUCUAAGGCGCGCUUCCAACACAUGCACAUCAACCUACUUUUACUCAUCACUUCAAGGCACUUCAAACACUAGUCUAGAGGUCUUUUAUUCAAGGUUUUUAUGUGGACAGAAAGGAGAAGAGAAGGUGAAAUGAGUUUGGUAGUAGGUGUACACAGUAGCAGACGACUCGAUCUACUCUAAUGUGGUGCUAAGAUACUAAAACAAUACAAACUAUGCAAGGAUAUAAUUUUGUAUAGCUUCAAACUAGCUCGUCUAUCCCUUAUGCUGACUACUACUUCGAGUUAUUCUCGUUUAUUCGACUAUUCUACAAAAAUACUACUAAGGGAGACUCGAAUAUCCUCCACUUUCAAAACUUAGAACCCUUAUUGACUCCUAGACUCGACCGAGUUACAUGCCACUUAUGUAUACAUGAUUAAAUAAAUGCUUGAAAGAAAGAGGAUACGAUAUUAUGAGGGCAUCGAAAAGGCUUGUUGGCUAUGUUUGGGUUAUACAUAGGGGCAAAUUUUAUGGACUGGAUGGUUAUUUUGUGGUAUAGCUUUUCUACGUGUCUCUAUCCUUUUAGCGAAUCAGUGUAGAGUGAAUUCAGUUUGGUGUUAUGCAAGUGCGGAAUUAACAGCCAAACUGAGCAAGUCUACCAAAUGUUGCAAACUUUUCUAUACUACAAAUUGGAUUUUGGAUGGUAAUUCGAUAACAUGCAUGCUCGGUAAUCCUUGAGUUUGAGAGUCUGUGCUACUAUGAACUAAUCAAAGUAACUCUAAUGAAUGAAUCAUCAGACUUUGAUCAUUGGCAUAUACUCCUAUCAAAUCUAGGUUUACAAAUCAAGUUAGCAAUUCAAGUGCACAAACCAAAGGAAAGUUUCCUAAGUUAGUAAUUGAAGUAACUCAUUCAAAGAUGGUUCCAUUAAGCUUGAGUUUAGGACUCACAUGCAAAGACAAUGACCCAGCAAGACUAGCUAACAAGAAUCCUAUGCAAACCCACCCCACAAUUAGAUUGGACAUUGUCCUCACUUAACGAAAUGAAAAGGUUGCAUAGGAAUACCUGGAAGUUGUGAGAAAUCCGAGAAGCUCAAACUCGUCGGCGACACUAACUUCUGAAAGACUGAAACACACAAAACAAAAAAUAAACGUAAAAGGGAACUAUGACAAGUGUCCAAGUCCCACGCAUAAUAAGAUGGAUUUAAGAUUCGAAACAAAUGAAAGAAAAAGUCGUAGGAGAAACGAGUCAAUCUGAUCACUGGUCCUCCAGAGGAGGGGAGAGUGAAAGGUAGUAUGAUCCGCUCUGGUGGUAAGAGAAAUGCCUGAGAUAUCGCAUCUGCUCCCUAUGGUGCUUCUGCUCCCUCCUCUGCUGCUCCUCAAAGUGGCGUCUAUAUGCGUCAUGCUCUACAACAAUCUCGGGCAGUUGGUUAUCAUGAUGAGCCUGCGAUGUCGCCUACUACUGCCAAGGAAGCUGUCCCUCAGAGAAUGAUGUCUACCAAGCUAUCUUUUGCUUUUGGCAAGGUAAACUGCCCUUCCCGAAACAUGCAUGCCACUGUUGUAUGGACUCCAACCGCAAUCCAACUAAAAAAUUACAGCUGACAUAAAUUUAACAAAAGUUAGGCUGAUACCAACGCGGAAUCUCAAUUCUAAUCCUAUACCUUCGAAAUCUAAAGACACUGAAUGAUAGUUUAGGAUCAUACAACCUUAAUUCCACCGCCAUAUUAAUAGCCGUUGUGAUCCAAACGAACCAGGAGCUGAUACAGUCAUACAGAAGGGUUUAAAUGAAUACGAUAUUCAACAUAACACAAGGGUAUUGACCUGGUACUGAAACGG